rnacentral:rRNA from 1 species
CCUACGGGUGGCAGCAGUGAGGAAUAUUGGUCAAUGGUCGCAAGUCUGAACCAGCCAAGCCGCGUGCGGGAUGAAGGUACAGAGUAUCGUAAACCUCUUUUGUCAGGGGACAAAGGCGGAGACGUGUCCCCGGAUGAGAGUAUCGGAAGAAAAAGCAUCGGCUAACUCCGUGCCAGCAGCCGCGGUAAUACGGAGGAUCCGAGCGUUAUCCGGAUUUAUUGGGUUUAAAGGGUGCGCAGGCGGUUUGAUAAGUCAGCGGUUAAAUGUCGGGGCUCAACCCCGGAACCGCCUCUAAUAUUGGUGGACGCGAGAAGAGUAGCGGUAGGCGGAAUGUAUGGGGUAGCGGGGAAAUGCUUAGAGAUCAGACAGAACACCGAUUGCGAAGGCAGCUUACCGAACUAGAUCUGACGUUGAGGCACGAAAGCGUGGGUAGCAAACAGGAUUAGAUACCCGAGUAGUC